rnacentral:SRP_RNA from 1 species
UGCCUGUCCCUCCGCAACGUUAUAUUGUGAACCCCGUCAGACCUGGAAGGGAGCAGCGGCAGCAGUGGACAUGUGUGCCGGAGUCAGGCGGGUACGA